GCACCUCCGAGGGUAUAAGACCCUGCUGUGACACCAUAUUUAGGAAAUAAUUACAUAGGCAGCAAGAGGACAGAAAGCACUGGGACAAGCCAUAAGGGAUACAUAGAGUUACAUAGGGACUACAUAGUGACUAUAGAAGCCAUACGGGGUACAUAGUGAUACAUAGAGACUAUAGUACAAGCCGUAAGGUAUACCACGAGAUAGAUAGGGACUAUAUAGAGACUGUAUCAGAAGCCAUAAGGGAUACACAGUGGUGCAUAGGGACUAUAUUAUACGACAUACAUGGUGAUACAUUGAGAAUAUACUGGAAGCCAUAAGGAAUACAUAGUGAUACAUAAAGACUACACUACAUAGGCGCUAUAUUAGAAGCCAUAAGGAAUACAUAGUUAUACAUAGGUACUACGUGGGUAAUUUCAGCAUGUUGGUGGUGUGUGUUGCUGUGAUCUUCAGUCUGGGUUCAAUGUGUCAGACGGCUCCUGUUUCUCAAACCUGCGAGACUCUUCUGAAACCUCUAGAGAUGAAAACCAUAGAUCCGUUGAUAGGAAAAUGGUCCAUUAUAGCAUCUAGUAACAACCAACCAGGUGCCGGCACUGUGGUUGGCCUUUUCAUGGAUAACAUUUGGUCAGACAUGUCACCAGGGACCCACCCCGACAUGCUCAAAGACACUCUUUACAUGAAAACAUGGGAUGGAAGAUGUUCCAGUUACAAUCUCAACAUGACCCUGGAAAACAACAAGCUCAGCUGGACCUAUGUUGUCCCUUCUUCCGCGGUCUUCCUGCCUACUUGUCCGGACUGUCUUUUGACCCGGACUUCCACCAUCAUCCAUGGAAACACCUACAGCUCUCUGGAAUUCACCAGUAAGAGAAGAGAACUCUCUGCUAGUGACCUGUUGCAGUUCAAGACCCAGGUUGACUGCCUCAACUUGCCAGCUGCCGUUUUCCUCAACACAAAGACAGAGCAUUGUCCAGAGAGCACCGAACCAUUGCCUGAAAUGGAAGACAUCUACAACAAGACGAUAGCCUUAAUGGAGACAGAUAUUUUCAAGUUUUUUUUGAGGGCCACAGAUUAUCUUAUUAAGAAGGCAGACUGGGUGGGAUGGCUUUAAAGGAAUUGUUAACGUGGUGUGUUAGAUCUUUCCAAUUUCCAAUGAAUAGAAUCAGGUGUAUUUAGCUGCACUUAAUGAAAGCGGCGUUAGUAGAACCAUUUAGACUGUUUGUCUCCAUAAGGAUCCCCAUUACUGACCUUGCAAAGUGUAACUUCUCAUGGAACUUAAGGACAUCCAUCAAAAACAACACCUGAUGAAGGUCUGAAAUGCGUUUUACUAUCUAUAAUUGUUGUGAUACUGGAGGUUUGCAACAGGUUGUAUCAGCAGUUUUAUGCAUGAGAAUGAAAGUUUAUAUGAUAUGACUGGCUUGUCAUUCUGUGUCCAUAAAGGCCUUCCAAUAACCACAUUUAUAUUGUUGUUGGUAUUUAUUCAGGGAUCCAUGCAGCUCCUCAAACAACCAUUGAUAAUCUGUAACAUGUUCACACAGCUUUAUUACAUUGGUUGUUAUUGUUAGCAUUAGCAGAAUCUAUAUUUUCUUCUACAUUUGUCUCACACCUUUUCAUCCUGUUUUCCCUUCAAUGAUUUUCAGUCCCUCCCAUUCACUCCCACUCCUCCUAACCCUCCCAUUCACUCCCACUCCUCCUAACCCUCCCAUUCACUCCCACUCCUCCUAACCCUCCCAUUCACUCCCACUCCUCCUAACCCUCCCAUUCACUCCCACUCCUCCUAAUCCUCCCAUUCACUCCCACUCCUCCUAACCCUCCCAUUCACUCCCACUCCUCCUAACCCUCCCAUUCACUCCCACUCCUCCUAACCCUCCUAAAGAAGGAAGAACCUCUCCAGACAUCCAUUGGUACAAUGUCAGUAGUUAACCCAAUCAAUGUCAACCUCCACCCGACCACCCAAUCAAUGUCAACCUCCACCCGACCACACAAUCAAUGUCAACCUCCACCCGACCACACAAUCAAUGUCAACCUCCACCUAACCACCCAAUCAAUGUCAACCUCCACCCGACCACACAAUCAAUGUCAACCUCCACCCGACCACACAAUCAAUGUCAACCUCCACCCGACCACACAAUCAAUGUCAACCUCCACCCGACCACCCAAUCAAUGUCAACCUCCACCUAACCACACAAUCAAUGUCAACCUCCACCUAACCACCCAAUCAAUGUCAACCUCCACCUAACCACCCAAUCAAUGUCAACCUCCACCCGACCACACAAUCAAUGUCAACCUCCACCCGACCAC
ensembl:lncRNA